CACUUACCGAGCCCUUUCCGUGAGUCUGCAUCGGUGCAGACUUAACCUAAGGGAAUUACCCACAGUUCAAAGUGUUGUGACGUUUACCGCGGAGAUCAUAGAAAAAACCGGAAAUUAAGGUAAACAACAGCACGCACGACACACGUGCAUGGUGCAAAUGUUAGCAACGUCUUUGUUAGUAAACAUCGCCAAGGUACAUGUGAUCUCGUGAAGUGCUGUCCCAAUCCCAAAAUACAUAUCUGAGCCCAUGAAGCCUCACACACUCACUCACUUAGCACCUGAGAUCAAUUAAGUCUGUGAGUCUUUAGUUCUUAGUCUUUAGGGCUGACAUUGGGAUUGGGCCAGUCAGUUGAAGCCGUUGAAGAACAGCGUGAAGAUGGAACCUGCUACUGAGCACAUCAACUCUUAAGUGUGUCCCUGGAAGAUCUACCAUCAACUUCCAGAACUGCAACUGCUAGUACUGUCAGAUGGUGAAUGCUACUCAGGCAAACACCAUUGUUACACCACUUUGAAGGAGAGCCUGGUCAUUUGGUCCCCUCAGCUUCUCCCUUUCUCAGUGAUAUGUUCAUUGUGGCUGGGAUAAUUGUGGGGCACUCUUUCCUUCAUGGAGGACCCUGCUUGUCUGGACUCUGUGAUGUGGUUGUCCAUACUGCUUCGUGGGAGCCCAGACACGGCUACAGUAAACCUGGAGGACUGUGCAGACCUGGACAUUAGAGAAACAAUCAGGCUUCUGGAGGUGGAAUCAAAUCAGCUGAAGAAAUGGGAAGGGUACAGAACGUGGCCUCUUCCUGGGACCUCCCUCCGCUAACCACAACCAACAGGGCCCUUAAUGCUCUGCGGUGAAAAAAGGAGCAACAAGGCUGACCGUGACAUCGGGAGAGCUGAGGCAGAUC